AAGGCCUGAACCACACGCAUGCUGCACGGUAUGCCCAGAGCACACGCUCGCGCCGGCGCCGCCGUCACCCACCCUCCGGUCUCCGUCCCACCCGGCCUUCCCACGCGUCCCCCUCCCUCCUGCGCCUGCUGACUGGCUGCUCCGCCCCGACCCCCUACUGCCGAGCCGAGUUGCCUUUCAAGGCUCCGCCCCGGCCAGCGGCCGGCUCGCCGUGCUGCACAGCUGCAGCGCAGAGCGGCAGAGCCCCAGAGUAGCCGCCGUGCUGUUGUGUGCUGUGGCUGUCGCCUGUCGCCGACUCGCCGUGCCGUUCUGCACUCGUGCUGCUGCUGUCUCUCUGCUGCGCGGCUGCGCCCAAGAUUGGCCCACCGGAACUCGCCGCCGCCGCCAGAGCUGUGACUCACAUUCAACGUGCCAUCCACUCCGCCCUCGUGCGAAUCAACUUCAAUGCGCCGCUGCAUUGCCCUGAAAGCUAGAAGAGAUUGUCCGACUGAAAUACAGAAGAACAAGAUGAGUCCAUGAAAGGAACGCGGCCGUGGAUCGUGAAAGAAGGAUAGGAAAUGAAGAAGAUCACCUUGCACCUGCGUGCCCCACCUGGCCGUCUUCUCUGCAGCACAGUCUGCCGUUGGAUUGCUCCUUGAACACAAGUUUCCUGACCAUCAGUAAAACUCUGAACUGAUUUCUCGCUGCUGCCGAUGCAUAUCCAUCCUUCCCAGAGCCCACUCAAGGCAGUGACCGCAGGUGCGUACUGGAAGGUGGCGAUCUAGCAGAGCGGCGCAGGCCGGACAGAGGUCUGUGCCUAGUGGAGCGGCAGCUGCCGGUGCCUGUUCAUCUAACACCCCUUGUAACUGAUGCAUUCUUGUACAGUCUGAUCCCGUGACCAUGUGCUGAAGAAAGUGACACCCAAAACUGCAGAAUCUGCUUCAGUCUCUUCUCACCAGGAUAUGAUGGACAUGACUCUGAACCCCUUUGGAUUCCUUUGGCGCUGCGUGCGUGCGUGCGUGUGCAGUACAGUAUGAGAUUCCCACUCCAGCAGCAGCACGCCAGCUCUGGCGGCCGCUUAGCCGCCCUUCCGACCAGGACGCCGUCAACACCUUCAUCGCCGACCUUCGCUCGAUGGCGCGUCGUCUGUCUCCGCCGCUUCCACCGCCUCCGCCAGAGCCUGAUUAGCCUGUUGUGGCUGCCCCACCCGGUGCUGGGUCUGGGCGUGUGUGUUGUGUAGGGCUUGUUGAGUUGUGCCCUCAGCAGUACCCCGUACUUGUGUCGUCUGCUACCUUGUGUGUGUGCCUCUGUGCCUGCGUGUGCGUGCAUGGGUUGAACCUUGUUUCGUGGUUGUGCUCUGGCAGUUUGCUUUAUAUAUAAAGCGGGGUGAAAGCCUUUUUCGAUAAGCAGAGAGCAUAUAACCAUUCUCUGCUAUAAAUUGUACUAGCCACCAAGAAUCCAAACCGCCAUGAAAUAAGGCUG